rnacentral:rRNA from 1 species
GACGAACGCUGGCGGCGUGCCUAAUACAUGCCAGUUGAGCGAUGAAGCUUGGUGCUUGCACCCAUUUGAAGAGCAGCGAACGGGUGAGUAACGCGUGGGGAAUCUGCCUUUGAGCGGGGGACAACAUUUGGAAACGAAUGCUAAUACCGCAUAACAACUUUAAACAUAAGUUUUAAGUUUGAAAGAUGCAAUUGCAUCACUCAAAGAUGAUCCCGCGUUGUAUUAGCUAGUUGGUGAGGUAAAGGCUCACCAAGGCGAUGAUACAUAGCCGACCUGAGAGGGUGAUCGGCCACAUUGGGACUGAGACACGGCCCAAACUCCUACGGGAGGCAGCAGUAGGGAAUCUUCGGCAAUGGACGAAAGUCUGACCGAGCAACGCCGCGUGAGUGAAGAAGGUUUUCGGAUCGUAAAACUCUGUUGGUAGAGAAGAACGUUGGUGAGAGUGGAAAGCUCAUCAAGUGACGGUAACUACCCAGAAAGGGACGGCUAACUACGUG